rnacentral:ribozyme from 13 species
UUUUUUUUUUUUUUUUUUUUUUUUUUUUUUUUUUUUUUUUUGGCCCAAAGCAAACAACAGGGUG